rnacentral:rRNA from 1 species
AGUGGCGCACGGGUGAGUAACACGUGACUAACCUACCCUUGAGUGGGGGAUAACUGAGGGAAACCUUAGCUAAUACCGCAUAAUACCCACGGGUCAAAGGAGCAAUUCGCUCGAGGAGGGGGUCGCGGCCGAUUAGUUAGUUGGCGGGGUAAUGGCCCACCAAGACGAUGAUCGGUAUCCGGCCUGAGAGGGCGCACGGACACACUGGAACUGAAACACGGUCCAGACUCCUACGGGAGGCAGCAGUGGGGAAUUUUGCGCAAUGGGGGAAACCCUGACGCAGCAACGCCGCGUGGAGGAUGAAGUCCUUCGGGACGUAAACUCCUUUCGAUCGGGACGAUUAUGACGGUACCGGAAGAAGAAGCCCCGGCUACUUCGUGCCAGCAGCCGCGGCAAUACGAGGGGGGCGAGCGUUGUUCGGUAUUAUUGGGCGUAAAGGGUGCGUAGGCGGUUUGGUAAGUCUUUUGUGAAAUCUCUGGGCUCAACUCAGAGUCUGCAGGAGA